rnacentral:rRNA from 1 species
AUUGAACGCUGGCGGCAGGCUUAACACAUGCAAGUCGAGCGGGGGAAGGUAGCUUGCUACCGGACCUAGCGGCGGACGGGUGAGUAAUGCUUAGGAAUCUGCCUAUUAGUGGGGGACAACAUCUCGAAAGGGAUGCUAAUACCGCAUACGUCCUACGGGAGAAAGCAGGGGAUCUUCGGACCUUGCGCUAAUAGAUGAGCCUAAGUCGGAUUAGCUAGUUGGUGGGGUAAGGGCCUACCAAGGCGACGAUCUGUAGCGGGUCUGAGAGGAUGAUCCGCCACACUGGGAAUGAGACACGGCCCAGACUCCUACGGGAGGCAGCAGUGGGGAAUAUUGGACAAUGGGGGGAACCCUGAUCCAGCCAUGCCGCGUGUGUGAAGAAGGCCUUAUGGUUGUAAAGCACUUUAAGCGAGGAGGAGGCUACUCUAGUUAAUACCUAGGGAUAGUGGACGUUACUCGCAGAAUAAGCACCGGCUAACUCUGUGCCAGCCGCCGCGGUAA